UUCGGUUCCGGUUUUAAGGAUUAUAAAACCGGAUGAAAAGGGAACCAGGUGAAAAUCCUGAACAGUCCCGCUGCUGUGAACUUCGUUAAAGAUUCGGAUGAAUUUGCCACUGUCUGUAUGUAGGCGGGAAGGUGUCCGAACGGGAAGUAAGUCAGAAGACCUGCCGGAUUCGGUU
rnacentral:ncRNA from 1 species